AACUUUGGAAUUCUACUAUAACAAGUAUUCUCUCAAGGGAAUGAUAAUUCAUAAAGAAAGAUAAUUGGAACUAUUUAUGACAUGUCUGGAAAAUAGCUAUUGAGGGUUAAGUGUUUAGGUUCAUAUAACAACCAAGUGAAGUGGUCUAUUAGGUGAAGAAUACUUCUCGUUUGUUAACAUUGAAGAAUUCAAGGUAUCAGUUCUUAGUGUUAUUGUAAGCUUAUAACAGGGUUCUAGAGAAUCAAGUUUAUAGGGGAGAAAUAUGAUAGGUUAAAGCAUCAAAGGUUAUACAAUUUCUUCGUUUAUAACAAUCUAGAAUACUUGGCAACUAGUAGAGUUUUAAACUUUGAUUUCAAUGAUAAACAAAAUUUCAAUAUUUUAA
rnacentral:lncRNA from 1 species